rnacentral:rRNA from 1 species
AUUGAACGCUGGCGGCAGGCCUAACACAUUCAAGUCGAGCGGAGCGGCGGACGGGUGAGUGAUGCCUAGGAAUGUGCCUGGGCGUGGGGGAUAACGUCCGGAAACGGGCGCUAAUACCGCAUACUAUCAGAUGAGCCUGGGUCGGAUUAGCUAGUUGGUGGGGUAAAGGCCUACCAAGGCGACGAUCCGGAACUGGUCUGAGAGGAUGAUCAGUCACACUGGGACUGAGACACGGUCCAGACUCCUACGGGAGGCAGCAGUGGGGAAUAUUGGACAAUGGGCGAAAGCCUGAUCCAGCCAUGCCGCGUGUGUGAAGAAGGUCUUCGGAUUGUAAAGCACUUUAAGUUGGGAGGCGUUACCCGCAGAAUAAGCACCGGCUAACUCCGUGCCAGCAGCCGCGGUAAUUC